UUGAAAAUAAAACUGAUGAGUUGCUGCUGGCUUUUCUAAGGAGCAUGUGCACACUUGUCAUCUUUAUAUCUCCACCUGUGCACCUAUUGUAGACCUGGACAACUUUCUUAAUGUGCUAGCAUUCAGGUAUGAGGAUUGACUCUUCUGGCUAUCCUUGCAUCUUCAGGUCUAUGUUCUUUCAUAUAAUCUCAAAUGUUAUGGAAUGUAAAUGCUUAAGGGCUUCUGUGCCCUAUAAACCUUAUA
rnacentral:misc_RNA from 1 species